rnacentral:rRNA from 1 species
AUACGUAGGGGGCGAGCGUUGUCCGGAAUGAUUGGGCGUAAAGGGCGCGUAGGCGGCCCGGUAAGUCUGGAGUGAAAGUCCUGUUUUUAAGAUGGGAAUUGCUUUGGAUACUGUCGGGCUUGAGUGCAGGAGAGGUAAGUGGAAUUCCCAGUGUAGCGGUGAAAUGCGUAGAGAUUGGGAGGAACACCAGUGGCGAAGGCGACUUACUGGGCCGCAACUGACGCUGAGGCGCGAAAGCGUGGGGAGCGAACAGGAUUAGAUACCCUGGUAGUCCACGCGGUAAACGAUGAAUGCUAGGUGUUGCGGGUAUCGACCCCUGCAGUGCCGGAGUAAACACAAUAAGCAUUCCGCCUGGGGAGUACGGCCGCAAGGUUGAAACUCAAAUGAAUUGACGGGG